rnacentral:rRNA from 1 species
UACAGAGGGGGCAAGCGUUGUUCGGAAUUACUGGGCGUAAAGGGCGCGUAGGCGGCCUUCUAAGUCGGACGUGAAAGCCCCAGGCUUAACCUGGGAACUGCGUCCGAUACUGGGAGGCUUGGAUUCGGGAGAGGGAUGUGGAAUUCCAGGUGUAGCGGUGAAAUGCGUAGAUAUCUGGAGGAACACCGGUGGCGAAGGCGGCAUCCUGGACCGAGAUCGACGCUGAGGCGCGAAAGCUAGGGGAGCAAACGGG